UUUUUUCUUUUUUUCUUUUUGAAGGAGGGUGAAGAAACAAUAAGGGUAAUUUACACUAUUAGUUAAUAAAUUAUGAGUAAGCUUUUGUUUUGGUCACUUAACUAAUAUAAAGUUACAAUUUGAUCACUGGACUAUUCAAAAGUUUUUAUUUAAGUCACUCGGUUAUUAAGUCUUUUUCUAAAUAAAAGUUUCGCCAGCAAGCUCUAAGC
rnacentral:lncRNA from 1 species